UGGUGCUGUAUCUGCCUUUUCACAGCGGGU
rnacentral:piRNA from 1 species